rnacentral:rRNA from 1 species
AUUGAACGCUGGCGGCAGGCCUAACACAUGCAAGUCGAACGGUAACAGGAAAAAGCUUGCUGUUUCGCUGUCGAGUGGCGGGGGGGUGAGUAAUGUCUGUGACACUGCCUGAUGGAGGGGGAUAACUACUGGAAACGGUAGCUAAUACCGCAUAACGUUGCAAGACCAAAGAGGGGGACCUUCGGGCCUCUUGCCAUCGGAUGUGCCCAGAUGAGAUUAGCUAGUAGGUGGGGUAUCGGCUCACCUCGGAAACGAUCAAUAGCUGAUCUGAGAGGGCGAUAGGCCACACUGGAACUGAGACACGGUCCAGACUCCUACGGGAGGCAGCAGUAGGGAAUCUUCCGCAAUGGGCGAAAGCCUGAAGGAGCAACGCCGGGUGAGUGAUGAAGGUCUUCGGAUCGUAAAACUCUGUUAUUAUGGAAGAACAUAUGUGUAAGUAACUGUGCACAUCUUGACGGUACAUAAUAAGAAAGCAACGGCUAACUACGUG